ensembl:lncRNA
GCUGUGUCCCAAUUCCUAGGACGCAUCCUUCGAAGGCUGCAUUCGAAGGAUGCGUCGACGCCGAUUGCGUCACAGCGUCGCGCCAAGUGCUGUCCCAAUUCCAAGGGUCCUUCAAAUGCGGCCUACGAAUGCAGCCUUCUUUUCCCGGAUUUGAAGGAUGCAUCGGCUGUAUCCUUCACGGCCCAACGUAUCCCAAGAUCCUUCACGGCCCAACGUAUCCCUCCCAAGAUUAAUUGCGCAUUCAAUCAAUGGAGAUGGCGGAGAAUGGCGAUUUAGGUUCUGCAUUUAAAUGGGGCCAGCAGCAUACUGCUCGAUUUAUUCUAUUGAGGGGGGAGAACGAUGAGCAAGUGUGGCUUGGGGGACAAUUCUGGAGAAAAUAGGCCUGCAGGGGAAGGUGACUCCCCUGCAGGCAAAGAAAAAAUGGGACAAUUUAAAAAAAAUAUCUAUAGAUUGCAAGUAUCCAGGGUCAGGAGAGGGGGUAGGUGGGAAACCCACUGCUGCCACUUGGCCCUGGUUGGUCCCCAUGGAUGAGGUAUUGGGACAGAGGCAUUCCACCAACCCCCCUGUCCUAAUUGCCUCCAUCCCUGAGAACACACCAGGGCCAAGUACAGCAAGUACAGCAGUGGUGGAUCAGGAGGUGGAGGACAAGGAUCAGGAGGAGGAAAGACAGCGAGGGCCAAGGUCCAGAAAGAGGGACAGAGAUGAAGACAUGUUCCAGAGUCGCUCACUAUCUUCCGAAAAGGACUCAAGACUCAC